rnacentral:tRNA from 1 species
GGGGCUUUAGUAUAACGGGAUUACCACGGCCUUGCAAGUCGUUGAUCUGGGUUCGAUUCCCAGUUGCUCCACCA